AUUGAACGCCGGCGGCAUGCUUACACGUGCAAGUCGGACGGCAGCACAGAGAAGCUUGAUUCUAGGGUGGCGAGUGGCGCAAGGGUGAGUAACAUAUCGGAACGUACCGAGCAGUGGGGGAUAACUCAUCGAAAGAUUAGCUAAUACCGCAUAUAUUCUGAGGAAGAAAGCAGGGGACCAUUUGGCCCUGCGCUGUUUGAGCGGCCGAUAUCUGAUUAGCUAGUUGGUGGGGUAAAGGCCUACCAAGGCGACGAUCAGUAGCGGGUCUGAGAGGAUGAUCCGCCACACUGGGACUGAGACACGGCCCAGACUCCUACGGGAGGCAGCAGUGGGGAAUUUUGGACAAUGGGCGCAAGCCUGAUCCAGCCAUGCCGCGUGUCUGAAGAAGGCCUUCGGGUUGUAAAGGACUUUUGUCAGGGAAGAAAAGGAUAGGGUUAAUACCCCUGUCUGAUGACGGUACCUGAAGAAUAAGCACCGGCUAACUACGUGCCAGCAGCCGCGGUAAUACGUAGGGUGCGAGCGUUAAUCGGAAUUACUGGGCGUAAAGCGGGCGCAGACGGUUACUUAAGCAGGAUGUGAAAUCCCCGGGCUCAACCUGGGAACUGCGUUCUGAACUGGGUGACUAGAGUGUGUCAGAGGGAGGUAGAAUUCCACGUGUAGCAGUGAAAUGCGUAGAGAUGUGGAGGAAUACCGAUGGCGAAGGCAGCCUCCUGGGAUAACACUGACGUUCAUGCCCGAAAGCGUGGGUAGCAAACAGG
rnacentral:rRNA from 1 species